CAAAGGAAUUGACGGGGACCCGCACAAGCGGUGGAUGAUGUGGAUUAAUUCGAUGCAACGCGAAAAACCUUACCUACCCUUGACAUGGUCGGAACCCUGCUGAAAGGUGGGGGUGCUCGAAAGAGAACCGAUACACAGGUGCUGCAUGGCUGUCGUCAGCUCGUGUCGUGAGAUGUUGGGUUAAGUCCCGCAACGAGCGCAACCCUUGUCCCUAGUUGCUACGCAAGAGCACUCUAGGGAGACUGCCGGUGACAAACCGGAGGAAGGUGGGGAUGACGUCAAGUCCUCAUGGCCCUUAUGGGUAGGGCUUCACACGUCAUACAAUGGUCGGAACAGAGGGUCGCCAACCCGCGAGGGGGAGCCAAUCCCAGAAAACCGAUCGUAGUCCGGAUCGCACUCUGCAACUCGAGUGCGUGAAGCUGGAAUCGCUAGUAAUCGCGGAUCAGCAUGCCGCGGUGAAUACGUUCCC
rnacentral:rRNA from 1 species